UUACGGUCAAAUCACGCUAAAACACCGGUUCUCGUACGAUCACCGAAGUUAAGCAGCGUAGAGCCAGGUCAGUACUUAGAUGGGGGACCGCUUGGGAACACCUGGUACUGUAAG
rnacentral:rRNA from 1 species